GCUGAAGUUGUAUAUUAAUUGGGUUUUGGUUUGAGCAUUAAACACACAGAAACUGAGAUGGCUAGAACCACUCUUUCUUCCCUGUCUUUAUUUUUCUGUAUUCUCCUCAUAAUCACCUUCACUUUCUUCAUGCUACCUAUUCCAGUAAGAGCAGAUCUGAAAAACAGGGGUCCCAAGCCAAGAUCACCUCCAUCACCCACUAGUAGCUGGCCCGGACAUCCUGGUCAUCCUCCAUCCAACCAUGGCUGAAAUAUUACCACAAAUAAUCCGAAAGUGAGAAAAUUGGGUGUGAUGCCAAGUCCACCUCCUUCACCUGCGCGUAAUCCAUCAUGGCGUACUCUACCUCCUCGUCUUCCUCCUCCAUCCAUUUAAAUUUUCAUUUUCUGCUUAUAUCUUGUCAUUGUUAGUGAAACCAAACUGAGUAUUUGGUCAGUCUUCUUGUGUUUCGUCUGUGUUUUGUAAUAAGCCAGGUUUCAGGCACCUUUUGUUAGUUUUGUAUUGUUUUCUGCAUAAUGUACGUUGUUCAGCAUAGUAUUUUACUGUUUGGUCUGUGUGUUGC